rnacentral:pre_miRNA from 1 species
UUUGACUCUUCGUCUUAUUUGAAAUUUUUUACGAUUAAUAUUUUUAAUCUUACUAGAUGAUAAAACAUGAAUACUACUUUAUGCGAUUAAUAUUUUAAAUUUUAUAGAAUUUUUUCAAAUAAGACGAAUGGUCAGACACGAAAA